rnacentral:rRNA from 1 species
AACGAACGCUGGCGGCAUGCCUAACACAUGCAAGUCGAACGAGACCUUCGGGUCUAGUGGCGCACGGGUGCGUAACGCGUGGGAACCUGCCCUUAGGUUCGGAAUAACUCCCCGAAAGGGGUGCUAAUACCGGAUAAUGUCUUCGGACCAAAGAUUUAUCGCCUUUGGAUGGGCCCGCGUUGGAUUAGCUAGUUGGUAGGGUAAAAGCCUACCAAGGCGACGAUCCAUAGCUGGUCUGAGAGGAUGAUCAGCCACACUGGGACUGAGACACGGCCCAGACUCCUACGGGAGGCAGCGGUGGGGAAUAUUGGACAAUGGGCGGAAGCCUGAUCCAGCAAUGCCGCGUGAGUGAUGAAGGCCUUAGGGUUGUAAAGCUCUUUUACCCGGGAUGAUAAUGACAGUACCGGGAGAAUAAGCUCCGGCUAACUCCGUG